rnacentral:rRNA from 1 species
ACUAAAUAGAUACCCUGGUAGUCCACGCCCUAAACGAUGUCUACUAGUUGUUGGUGGAGUAAAAUCCAUGAGUAAACGCAGCUAAACGCGUGAAGUAGACCGCCUGGGGAGUACGGUCGCAAGAUUAAAACUCAAAGGAAUUGACGGGGGCCCGCACAAGCGGUGGAUUAUGUGGAUUAAAUUCGAUGCAACGCGAAAAACCUUACCUGGCCUUGACAUGCCACUAACGAAGCAGAGAUGCAUUAGGUGCCCGUAAGGGAAAGUGGACACAGGUGCUGCAUGGCUGUCGUNAGCUCGUGUCGUGAGAUGUUGGGUUAAAGUCCCGCAACGAGCGCAACCCUUGCCAUUAAUUGCCAUCA